rnacentral:rRNA from 1 species
AUUGAACGCUGGCGGCAGGUAUCACACAUGCAACUCGAGCGGAGAUGAGGUGCUUGCACCUUAUCAUCGCGGCGGAGGGGUGUGUUAUGCUUAGGACUGUGUAUCUUAGUGGGGGACCACAUUCAGAAGGGAAUGCUAAUCCCACAUACGCCCUAGGGGGAAACGCAGGGGAGCUUGGGACCUUGCGCUAAUAGAUGAGCCUAAGUCGGAUUAGCUAGUUGGUGGGGUAAAGGCCUACCAAGGCGACGAUCUGUAGCGGGUCUGAGAGGAUGAUCCGCCACACUGGGACUGAGACACGGCCCAGACUCCUACGGGAGGCAGCAGUGGGGAAUAUUGGACAAUGGGCGGAAGCCUGAUCCAGCCAUGCCGCGUGUGUGAAGAAGGCCUUUUGGUUGUAAAGCACUUUAAGCGAGGAGGAGGCUACCUGAGUUAAUACCCUAGGUUAGUGGACGUUACUCGCAGAAUAAGCACCGGCUAACUCUGUGCCAGCCGCCGCAGUAACAC